rnacentral:rRNA from 1 species
AUGUCGCCGUCGCUCUUCUCCGAUUCGUUCGCCUCAAGAACGGUCGACUUGGUGGGGGUGAGCUUGCCCCACUUUGUCACCAGCCAUGAGGAGUCCCUGGAUCUUCUCUUGCGCGAGUCGGAUCAUCUGGGCCGCCGGAUCCAGUCUCUGGCGUCCAUAAUGAGGAAAUUUGAUAUCCCCGUCUCCUCCGACAAGCCCAAAAAGCUGCUGUUUCUCAUGUCACGCGCAGCUGUGAUAAUCUCCAAGACUAUGAAGAAUUAUUCCAAGGAGGAUGCUACUUCUUCAAAGCUUCUUCACCGUGCCCACUGGGAAUCUAUAUGGGGCAGUCAGAUGGCAAGCCAUGGUGUCUUCGAUGAUGCAGCCACACUGAGUCCUAUGCAAUUCACGCCAUCCACACCUGGUAUUACUCCCUACUCUGCUACCACCUGCCCAGCAUUGCAGAUCUACUCUAUCAAAAUUGUUGACCUCAACGUCAACUUGAGCUGGCCGCUCCGAGUGUACGGUGUUGUCGCCGCCAGAGACACUGUGGACCGCAACCGCAACCUUCUCUUCUACCGGUCCAGGGCUAACUACCAAUUAGUCGAGAAAGAUGAUCCUUUUUUGCGCUUGACUGGCCCGUCUCGCGCAAUUUUGGCCAGCAACCCGGUGACAUUUGAAGUUGAACUAAAAACUGUGUAUCCUGGAGCGGAGCCGGAUCCCCAAGGCGCAUUGCUCUCUUGCGUCUAUGAUUGGCGCGCCGUGCAGGAUACCACCCCUAUGUUCCUUGGCUAUGCUUGUUCUGCACAGUUAAGCCUUGAGCAACUUCCUAGAGCAAUCCAGGCCACUAUCAUGGGUGUCCACAUUGUUGAUGGCUCAUGGCCUCCUAAAUAUGGAUGCCGGGUUUCUUGCUCCUUGUCUGCUCCAGAUGAUCCCACUCCUAGGGAAGUGUUGUUGCUUGAUUGUUCCCGUUCUGAUGCUGAAAAAAAAAAGCCCUGUUGGAUCAGAUGGCUACUUUGGUCUGGCAAGGAAUGUUGUUUCAGCUGA